AUGUCGAUCCUGAUCACCACCUAUGAGGGUGCGCACAACCACCCGUUGUCUGCCUCCGCCACCGCCAUGGCAUCCACCACCUCGGCCGCGGCAUCCAUGCUCAUGUCAGGCUCCUCUACCUCGCUCGGCUUCCCCUCUGCCGCCUCCAGCCUCCACGGCCUUCGGUUCGGCCUCCCGGGGGCGGCCAACAGUGCCUCCUCUAACAAGCUGGGUGGCCGACCGUUCUUCCUCCCGGCCGCCACCGGCGCGUCCAUCAGUGCUACCCCAUCGUACCCCACCAUUACACUUGACCUCACCUCGCAGGCCGCCUCGCAGCAGGCCUUCUCCCUCAGCAACAACAACAGGUUCUCCUCCAGCUUCACCAGCUCUCAUGGCCACAGCGGUAACACUGGUAGGUACCCUUCGACGAGCUUCUCCUUCUCCGGCUCCGGCGCCAGCAGCCUGCCCGGCGCCACCGCAUGGCCGGCCGGAGUUGGAUCGUACCUGAGCUACGGAUCCUCGUCCGCUGCUGCGCGUGGGCGCGACGCUGGGCCCUCCCUGCUGAGCCCGGUGGCAGCAGCACCAUGGCUCUGGCCUCCCUCUCGCCUCUAG
rnacentral:rRNA from 1 species